UCUCUUUUCUCUUUCUCUUUCUUUCCUUACUCUUUCCAACCAAAGGCAUCCUAAAUUCCCUCUCCUCUCUUCUUCUCCAUCUCCGGUGGUAGCGGCGGCAGCAUAGACGGCGAUUCAAAUGCGUAGGCUCGUGGAACAGAUCAGGGAUGCAGAACACAGCUAUGGUGAUCCUUUCUCGGUGGUUGUUGACUACACAAGAAUUCGGAGGUAGCAUCAUGAGUGGCAAACAAGUUAAUAGUCGAGCUCAACAUGGAUCAAGUUGAUGGUGAGUGUGAAGAAAGCAAUGAAUUCGAAGCUUAUGAUGAAAACAUGUCAUGAGAUUUCAUGUUAGGAAGUGAUUAUGUUGCUGCUUAUAUCAAUAUGUUAUUUGGAUUACCCGAUAGGAAAUAGC